AGCGAACGCUGGCGGCAGGCCUAACACAUGCAAGUCGAACGAAGUCUUCGGACUUAGUGGCGGACGGGUGAGUAACACGUGGGAACGUGCCCUUUGGUACGGAAUAACUCAGGGAAACUUGAGCUAAUACCGUAUGUGCCCUUCGGGGGAAAGAUUUAUCGCCAUUGGAGCGGCCCGCGUCUGAUUAGCUAGUUGGUGAGGUAAAGGCUCACCAAGGCUACGAUCAGUAGCUGGUCUGAGAGGAUGACCAGCCACAUUGGGACUGAGACACGGCCCAAACUCCUACGGGAGGCAGCAGUGGGGAAUCUUGCGCAAUGGGCGAAAGCCUGACGCAGCCAUGCCGCGUGGAUGAUGAAGGUCUUAGGAUUGUAAAAUCCUUUCACCGGUGAAGAUAAUGACGGUACCCGGACAAGAAGCCCCGGCUAACUUCGUGCCAGCCGCCGCGGUAAUAC
rnacentral:rRNA from 1 species